UCAAAUGCGGAUGAACUCGUGGCAAGACGGAGUUCUUGGUACUAAUUGUCUGAUUCCUCCUAAAUGGAAUUGGACAUAUCAGUUUCAAGUCAAGGAUCAAAGUGGGAGUUUCUUUUACUCCCCUUCUACUAAUUUCCGAAGAGCUUCUGGUGGAUUUGGUCCAUAUGAUGAAAAUUUCAUUAUGAUUGGUGAUUGGUAUAAACAGAACCAUGUGGAUUUAAGAUCAAAACUUAAUGCUGGAAAACUCUCGGAAUUCCAGAUGGUAUUCUUAUCAACGGGAAGGGACCUUAUCAAUACAUUAAUACUCUUGUACCUAAUGGCAUGGAUCAUGAAAAAAUUGAUGUUGAUCCUGGUAUUUUUGUCGGCAUUGCCUUUUAUUGUACACUUUGGUGUUAGUCAUCUUCACCAUUUUUCUUUUCGAGCCAUAUAAUAAUGCUAAUUAGUUUUAUUGGCUAGAAUUAAAACAUGUUUAGAAUGAUGAAAACAAAUCACUUAUUUCUUUCACACAUUCAUCCGUCACUAAAAAUGUAAGUUGCUGCAUAAUAAAUUUAUUGUAAAAUGGUAGCUUUUGACAGAUGGUAGAAAAUGUCUUGCCUUGGUUUACUACUGUUUGGUCUAUUUUCAUUAUACUCUAUGUUAAAUUCUUUUUAUCUUGUGUAUCUUAUUUCAAAUUCCUGUAUUUUUGUAAUUGGUAAGAACCGAUUCUUAAGAAUGGUUUGAUAUUAUGACAUGCUUUGAUUAUGAAAUUAGAUGUGAUUGUGAUUUUCCUUUACUUUAAAUCAGGGACAGACGUGAGCUGGAAUUGGAUUUCAAGAGAUUCUGGGAUGAGUUUUGGUCAUCCAGCUCUGAGAAGGAAAAAGAAGCGGCCUUGAAUUGGAGUAUAGAUGCUUUUUGUAGAUUAGUAAAGCAGCAGGCUAAUGUAGCUCAAUUAGUUACUGUGUUUGUGCAGAAGUUGGUCAAUCCAGUAUAAAAACAGAACUUUCCGAAUAUCACUUCAAAACUGAGGUUAUAAGCUUAAUUUUUUGCCAUAUAUAGAAGGGUGACAAAAUUCAAGCUACGAAACUUUAAGGUACACAGAAUCAACCUUCUCUCUUUAUUCUUUUGGGUAUUGGAAAAACUAAGGUAAGAGAAAUCUACCCUAGAAGAUUUGAAAUUUCUAGAUUAUUUGAUGAUUUAUAGAACCACGCUUCAUCCUUACAAGCUUAAUUUCCAAAUUAAGACAAAAGUACAGGCUUCUGUUUGUCCAGAUAUAUCUUUGUAUGGAUCGUCUCUCACCAAUUUGGCUGAAGUUUCUGCACACCUGCAUAAUUACGAAUUUUUUAGUUGUUGUGAUUGGUGUUAUGACUGCAAUCUCUGCUGAAAGAGAGUAUAUUAGGGAUGGUAAGGUAACAAAAAUGGUUGUGAUAGAGCUUACCGAUUCAAGUGGGAAGUGCGAAUGUGCUCUAUGUGGUGACUAUGUAGAUGAUUUAAGUAAGAAAGUUGGCAAAACUGCUUCAGGCAUUCCUGUUGUUGUCAUACAAUUCGCUAAAGUCAAGAUUUUCAGAGGAUUGCUCUUUAUGGUAUGGACCUUGAUGCUCCAUUUUCUUUGAUUGGUCGGAAUGCAAAUAAUCUAAGGUUCGGAACGUACCACAAUCAAUUCUUGAAGUUUACUUCAUCGGGUACUUCUGGUCGGAAGUUAAUUAUACUCUAGUGGUCAGAAAAGUCUAAUGUAUUUAAAGCCUUGAACCUUAUAUGCAAGAGUCGGGGUUCAAAUCCCGGACACUCCACUUUUUUUUUUUGAAUUCACCUAAAAAAGGUGGAAUUUCAAACCACGAAGUUACCUGACAAAAAACAAAUCCUUGAAGCUUGUUAAUGGUAUUGGUGUACCUUCUCAAUUACAUUAAGACAAACAGAAAGAAGUUAAAGAAUCUGUACGAUACUAGAAGACAUGUUUCCGAAGUACAUCGAGACUUGUUGUCUUCUGAUGUCAAGGAUAAUUUGUGCUUUCACAAUUCAAAUAAAGAUGCUCCAAAAAAAAACUAUCGUGAGAAUCCAAAUAUAGCUAGAUUCCACACACUUGUACCAAUAAUGUAGCUCAUGGAUCAGUUUACUCAUUUUCAUUUUCAUCUUUAAAACAUCAUAAACAAAUGUUCAGCUGUAAAAGAUGGCUUCAUGGAA